GAAGAGCAGCAGGUGGGGGAGGGUGAAAGAGUCUGUGCCCGCCUCUCUGGGCCUCAGUUUCCCCUCCUUACAUGGGGACUGUAUUCUCUUUGCCCCCUCCAGUGGGAACAUCCCAUACCCUGUUGCACCUGGUCUUCUGGUUCUGCCCCCCACUCUCAAAUUCCCCUACUUGGGGGAAUUUGUGUGUGGCUUGGGAAAGGCAGAGACUCUUCCAGGUACCACUGAGAUACUAAUUUUCCAAGUCGGAGUCUCAUCAUCGCUUCCCCUCAUCUUUCUGCAGUUUUGACAAUUUUCUGCUGCAAAAGGCAUUGCUUCUAAAGUCAGAGCGGAAUGAACAAUAUCAAUAAAUGCUUAGUUUUAAAGAAAGGAGAGAGAGGGGGAAAUGAAGCCUGGAGCGGGACCAGUGAGAUCGACAUGAGCAGAAGGAUCACGGUGAGGACGUGACAGGCCCUGCUGUGCAGAGGAUUGAAGAAGCUCACAAAAAACGGGUGGCUCGUGUCUAGAGGCCAGCACAGCCUCCUCUGGGCUCCUCGCCUCCAUCCCUGCCCCCAAGAAAGUCUGA